CCUACGGGAGGCAGCAGUGGGGAAUCUUAGACAAUGGGCGCAAGCCUGAUCUAGCCAUGCCGCGUGAGUGAAGAAGGCCUUAGGGUCGUAAAGCUCUUUCGCCAGGGAUGAUAAUGACAGUACCUGGUAAAGAAACCCCGGCUAACUCCGUGCCAGCAGCCGCGGUAAUACGGAGGGGGUUAGCGUUGUUCGGAAUUACUGGGCGUAAAGCGCACGUAGGCGGAUUAGAAAGUUAGAGGUGAAAUCCCAGGGCUCAACCCUGGAACUGCCUUUAAAACUGCUAGUCUUGAGUUCGAGAGAGGUGAGUGGAAUUCCAAGUGUAGAGGUGAAAUUCGUAGAUAUUUGGAGGAACACCAGUGGCGAAGGCGGCUCACUGGCUCGAUACUGACGCUGAGGUGCGAAAGUGUGGGGAGCAAACAGGAUUAGAUACCCUGGUAG
rnacentral:rRNA from 1 species